rnacentral:tRNA from 1 species
GGGAAAGUAGCUCAGUUGGUUAGAGCGUUGGUGUGUCUGUCAUACCAAAAGUCGCAUGUUCGAACUCUGUUUUCUCUG